CAACCCUCAGGACCCCUCUCCCAGGAGGGGGGCACUGGCGUUGGGGAUCGGCCCGCCCUGGAGCGGCGCCGUCCCCGAAAUACAGUGGCGGUCUCGCUGCAGCCUCCCCUGCGUAGUAGCACACCUCGCACUGGAGAGCGGCGCGGCCACGCCGUGAAACCCCCCAACUUUCUGAA
rnacentral:misc_RNA from 1 species